ensembl:misc_RNA Gm55685 predicted gene, 27357
AGGGAGGGAGGCUGCGGACCAGUGCGGGGAGGAGUUUACGAGGGGAGGCGCUUGCAGGGGCUCCCCCAGUUCUGUUGAGAGCCGGGCACAAAGAGCCCUCUGCACUCUAGCCGCAGGAGCCAGGAGCUGAGG